rnacentral:sRNA from 2 species
AUUCGCUGGCUUCCUCUCUUCAGGCGGCUGCACAAUGCUGAUCAGCGUCCCACCAUCCUUCACAGCCCCCCAAGCAUCCUUCAAUGUCUGAUUACCGAAACAAUCAAUCACCAAAUCUACCUUCCUGUUCUCAUCCGCAGCAGCCCAGGCAGUUAUGGACAUCGUUUUAUAAUCGACCACCUCAUUCGCUCCAAGGUCACGGACAAAUUGUUCGUUCUCAGAUCCGCAGGACACAGAGACAUGAAGGCCUGCAAUCCUGGCAAGCUGGACGACCCACAAUCCAACCCCUCCUGACGCAGCUGUGAUGAAGACCCUCUUCCCCUUAUUUUCAGGAUUUUCAGGCCCGCCUAGCCCGCCCUGAACGAACAAGGCUUGCCACGCCGUAAGUGCUGACAAGGGAAUCGUUGCUGACUCGGCCCAGCUUAGAUUGCUUGGUCUAAGGGCGAGUUCAGAGGUCACCGCAAUGGUGUAGUCACGAGCGCAGCCUGGCCGAACAUAGUUUGUACGAGCAUAAACUUGACUUCCAGCGGCAAAUGGGGAAGUCUCUGGUGCGGCAACAACGGUUCCAGCGAGAUCGUAACCAGGAAUUAUCUCCUGCUUGCCCUGUAUUGGAAACGAUUUGGGCCAGCUGAGCUCUCCAGCACAGAGAGCUGUUGCGUGGACGCGGAUAAGAUGCUCAUCAGAGUUUGGCUUGGGUUCGGGGAUAGGUCGGUUUAUCAGAGUUAGAGUAUCCUUCUCGAGAUCCUGCCAAAGAGAUCUAACAGCAGACUUAGAGGGUUGGUUCGCCAUGGUGCGUUGUUGAGUGAGGGGUAAUGUUGAGUAGGCUGCAGUGUUCUGUGUUGGAGUCAAGACGAAUUUAUUUUGCGUGUGAGACAACCGGCCUUUCGAAUAUGAUGAAGGCUGUAAGGGGUUAUGGAGUUGGUUGGUGGGCAGCUCAGGUUUGAGAGCUUUCACUGCAACCGUUAUCCGAUGAGCGAGUGAACACGCUCUAUUAUACAUAAAAUGAUGCUGCGAUAAAACAAACUCUUCUUUUGAAAGUGGGUGUUGGGAACAAAGAAAAUUAAACUGUAAAUUUUUCUGGGGCCACAAGGCCUGUUAAAUAGCCACCUGG